rnacentral:rRNA from 1 species
UACGUAGGGUGCAGGCGUUAAUCGGAAUUACUGGGCGUAAAGCGCACGUAGGCGGCUUUGCAAGUUAGAGGUGAAAGCCCGGGGCUCAACUCCGGAAUUGCCUUUAAAACUGCAUCGCUAGAGUUGUGGAGAGGUAAGUGGAAUUCCGAGUGUAGAGGUGAAAUUCGUAGAUAUUCGGAAGAACACCAGUGGCGAAGGCGACUUACUGGACACAUACUGACGCUGAGGUGCGAAAGCGUGGGGAGCAAACAGG